CCCGUUUCAAAAUGCGGUCAAAACGGCGGGCUUGACCGUUCGUAGCUAGUUGUUGAAUCUUGGCGACCUUUUGAUGUUGCUCUGAUUAAAUAGAUACUUAUGUACCUAGAAAUGAUUUUUGGAAAAAAUAAAGAGCAAACUACGAGGUAGCUACGGAUCAAAUUUGACCCGCUUCCACCUGAAUCGGCAGGAAUUUGUCUUUUUCACGAGAGGUGGAUCAAAACUUUUUACACGCAACCAUUUGGUCAAUUGUGCAUUAAAUAUGUCCUAGUAUUUUAGAAAAUUAAUUUGGUACAAUUUUGCGACCAAUAUAUUAUAGGUCCUUCACAAAAAAACUCAUUUCGGGCACUCAAAAAAUGCAAAAUGAAUUUUUCGUCGAAAGAAAGUGAAAACUUUCCUUAGGCAAGAUUGUCUGCCAUUCCAAGAUGCACCCUUGUGCACAAUAUGAGAUCAUUUGAACAAACUAUGUCAUGAAUGUGGCCAUAAGAUUGAUCAUUUGGCUUGAAAGCCAUGAAUCUUCACACUUGAUAGCUCGUUUCUAACUACAAGUUUAUUAUUUUUGCUGGAAACUAGGUCACAUAUGGUGACACAAUGGGAAGGGUUUCCCAUUUUUUGUUUUUUUUUAAUUUUUUAUGCCCGUUUCAAAAUGCGGUCAAAACGACGGGCUUGACCGUUCCUAGCUAGUUGUUGAAUCUUAGAGACCUUUUGAUGUUUCUCUGAUUUAAUAGAUACUUAUGUACCUAGAAAUGAUUUUUACAAAAAAUAAAGAGAAAACUACGAGGUAGCUAAAGUUCAAAUUUGACCCGCUUCCGGCUGAAUCGGCGAGAAUUUGUCCUUUUCACGAGAGGUGGAUCAAACUUUUUACACCCAACCAUUUGGUCAAUUGUGCAUUAAAUAUGUCCUAGUAUUUUCGGAAAUUGAUUUGGUACAAUUUUGCAACAAAUAUAUUAUAGGUUCUUCACAAAAAAACUCAUUUCGGGCACUCGAAAAAUGGAAAAUGAAUUUUUCUUCCAGAGAAAAUGAAAACUUCCAUAGGAAACACUGUCUGCCAUUCAAAGAUGCACCCUUGUGCACAAUAUGAGAUCAUUUGAACAAACUAUGUCAUGAAUGUGGCCAUAAGAUUGAUCAUUUGGCUUGAAAGCCAUGAAACUUCACACAUGAUAGUUCGUUUCUGAGAACACUUUUUUAAAAUAAUUGCCGUAUUACAAGUUUAUUAUAUUUGCUGGAAACUUGGUCACAGAUGAUGACACAAUGCGAAGGUUUUCCAAUUUUGUGAUUUUUUUGAAGUUUUUAUGGCUGUUUCAAAAUGCGGUCAAUACGGCGGGUUGACCGUUCCUAGCUAGUUGUUGAAUCUUGGAGACCUUUUGAUGUUUCUCUGAUUAAAUAGAUACUUAUGUACCUAGAAAUGAUUUUUGGAAAAAAUAAAGAGCAAACUACGAGGUAGCUACGGUUCAAAUUUGACCCGCUUCCGGCUGUAUCGGCGGGAAUUUGUCAUUUUCACGAGAGGUGGAUCAAAACUUUUUACACCCAACCAUUUGGUCAAUUGUGCAUUAAAUAUGUCCUAGUAUUUUAGGAAAUUGAUUUGGUACAAUUUGGCAACAAAUAUAUUAUAGGUCCUUCACAAAAAACUCAUUUCGGGCACUCAAAAAAUGGAAAAUGAAUUUUCCUUCCAAAGAAAAUGAAAACUUCCUUAUGAAACAUUGUCUGCCAUUCCAAGAUGCACCCUUGCGCACAAUAUGAGAUCAUUUGAACAAACUAUGUN
rnacentral:lncRNA from 1 species